rnacentral:rRNA from 1 species
AGCGAACGCUGGCGGCGUGCUUAACACAUGCAAGUCGAACGUGAAAGUAGCAAUACGAGUAAAGUGGCGCACGGGUGAGUAACACGUAGGCAAUCUACCUUAGAAUCUGGAAUAACAGGCCGAAAGGCUUGCUAAUACUGGAUAGAUCAAAACUCUUGUAAAGGGAGAAUUGGGAAAGGGGAGGCCGCAAGGUCCCUCGUUUUAAGAUGAGCCUGCGUCCCAUUAGCUAGUUGGUAGGGUAACGGCCUACCAAGGCGAUGAUGGGUAGCUGGUCUGAGAGGAUGAUCAGCCACACUGGAACUGAACACGGUCCAGACUCCUACGGGAGGCAGCGAGUGGGGUAAUUUUGCGCAAUGGACGAAAGUCUGACGCAGCAACGCCGCGUGAGUGAAGAAGG